rnacentral:rRNA from 1 species
UACGGGGGGGGCAAGCGUUGUUCGGAAUUACUGGGCGUAAAGGGUUCGUAGGUGGCCAACUAAGUCAGACGUGAAAUCCCUCAGCUUAACUGGGGAACUGCGUCUGAUACUGGUUGGCUUGAGUGCAGGAGAGGAAUGCGGAAUUCCAGGUGUAGCGGUGAAAUGCGCAGAUAUCGGGAAGAACACCCGUGGCGAAGGCGGUUCUCUGGGACGGUACUGACGCUGAGACGCGAAAGCGUGGGGAGCGAACAGG